GGAAUCUUAGACAAUGGGCGCAAGCCUGAUCUAGCCAUGCCGCGUGAGUGAUGAAGGCCUUAGGGUCGUAAAGCUCUUUCGCUGGGGAAGAUAAUGACUGUACCCAGUAAAGAAACCCCGGCUAACUCCGUGCCAGCAGCCGCGGUAAUACGGAGGGGGUUAGCGUUGUUCGGAAUUACUGGGCGUAAAGCGCGCGUAGGCGGAUCAGAAAGUUGGGGGUGAAAUCCCGGGGCUCAACCUCGGAACUGCCUCCAAAACUCCUGGUCUUGAGUUCGAGAGAGGUGAGUGGAAUUCCGAGUGUAGAGGUGAAAUUCGUAGAUAUUCGGAGGAACACCAGUGGCGAAGGCGGCUCACUGGCUCGAUACUGACGCUGAGGUGCGAAAGUGUGGGGAGCAAACAGGAUUAGAAACCCCGGUAGUCC
rnacentral:rRNA from 1 species